rnacentral:lncRNA from 1 species
CUUUAUAUAUUCUUUCGGGAGGGAGGCCGGCCCCAGUGGCCAGGCACUAUUAGCAUAUCCCACCGCAACCCCCGCGGGGGCUGUCUGGACAAACCUCCGCCUUUCCUCUACAGACAAUCUGCUGUGUACUGCCCCUUUUGACGCUAAUGGUUUUACUGUAUUUCUGCUGGGGCGGCAGUGGGUCCCCAACCUGCUCAUUUGCACUCUCUAGAUAGGCUAAAACAAGGGAUCACUUAAGGAGUGUUUCACACAAAAGUGACCAAGGCAGUCCAACUUUUUGCAAUUGGACACACAUUUUAAAAUAGUGGUAAUAAAUAGAAAUCCCUUUCAGCUGGCACCAAGAGCCGACCUGCCCUCCCAAUCCUGGGCGUGAGGAAUCACCUGAUUUGGGGGUGUUUGUUUCUCUUUUUCAUGAACUUCAAUUAUCUCGAAAACUUUUUCCAGCAAUUGGAUUGAAUAACGGUUACUAAAAACUUGAAGUGGCAUUUUCAAUCUUGGAGUGAAUACAGGGUUUGCCUUUCCAAAUCUAUUUUGUAUAGCUUCAGAUGAGUAAAGUUUUGCUCAGAUUGUCAUUUAUUCUAGGCUCUACCUUAUUGAGAGUAGGGAGGGAGGUUCCUUUUCCCAUGACUGGGCUUGCUCUGAGUUCUCCCUGUAUGUCUGCUCAUCUAAAAGGAGGUGGGGCACAGGAGGGCCAGGUGACCAGGAACAUUCCUCCCGUUCUUGCUUCCUUCAUUUUCCCCUUCUGUACGUAUUUGUUGAGCACCUUCUCCUUUGUGCCAGGCCUUCCCUAGAUCCUGAGCAGGCCAAAGACCUGCACUGAAAGUGUCUCUAAGAUUUCCAACAGAAGAAGCCCAGUUUUCGACGGCAAACUCCCUUUCCAGGGAUGGUACUAAUUUGAACACAUCAUUCCAUGCUUCCUGGAGUAAUCACACAGCUUGCUUAGAUUUUCUAAACAUGACUGAACUGUGAUGAAGCGAUCAACAUUAACUGCCAAGACUCCACAUAGCAAUGAUGUGCUGGCCACCCACUGGGAAAACACCUGUCACCCCUUGAUGGACCUUUCUGACACUGUUUGCCUGUCCUCAAAAGUUCCUGAAAUAUUUACCAGUCAGCAUCUUGGAAAAAACAAAUAAUGGGGCCUUCUCAGAGUGAGGAAGCUUCCUGGAGGGUCAUCAGGACACUACAGAAGAGCUAAUCCAACAUGGAUCUCUAAAACUAUGCAAUUAAGACGAGUGUGGUGGCUCACACCUGUAAUGCCGGCACUUCGGGAGACCAAGGCGGUUGGAUCACUUGAGACCAGGAGUUUAAGGUCAGCCUGGGCAACAUGGCAAAACCCUGUCUCCACUAAAAAUAAAAAAAUUAGCCCUGCGUGGUGGGCAGACCUGUGGUCCCAGCUUUCAGGAGGCUGAGGCACGAGAAUUGCUUGAGCUCAGGAGGCGGAGGCUGAAGUGAGCCAAUAUCGGCAACUGCACUCCAGCCUGGGCAACAGAGCAAGACUGUGUCUCAAAAAAAUAAAUAAAAUAAAAUAAAUAAAAUAAAAUAAAGCUAUGCUAUUAGCUCAAGUAAUCUAAUUGCAUUACAUCAAUUUUAAAAAUUAUUUUCAAAAAUGUAUUUCAAUGUUAUCUGCUACCUUGCAUCACUACCUUCUUGCCCUGAUUUUCACAGCAAAAUCUUGUACAUAAGUAUCUACCAACUGUAAAAAAAAAGCCUCAGAUUAUGUUCCAUAGAUAAUGCAGAAUCAAGGCAAUUACCUGGAAAUGGAUAUCAAAAAUAAAUUUUUAUCUCAAAUAGAUAUUUUAGUAAAAAGAAGCUUGUUGUUAUAAAUUAUGUUAAUAAAAACAUAGUAGUUCACUUCAGUUUGCAUAUAUAUAGUUUCAACAUCUAGCUUGGUUUACUCCCAAGAGACAAAAUUAAGCUAAAAAAAUUUUUUUCAGAUGCCUCAUCUGUUUAGGGUUUAUUUUUCUUUUGCAGUUUAGGAUUGUGGCUGAUAUUUUAAUAAAUAAGUUAGAAAAAUAGGGUAGCAUGAAUAUUAAUUAAAACAAUUCAGAAUAUAUCAAAUAUGUAAGAGGUUAUUUGCUAUAAAACUGAUAACUAAAAGAAAGAGAAAGGAGACAGAAUUGAACUGUCACCAAGGCUCGAACUCCAUUUUCCUAGUAGCUGUUACCGAAUUGCAGAUAACACAUAAAUCUCUGUGCUGAAGUGUGAGCUCUCUAAUCAAAGGAGCAAUCUUCUGAGCAAUCCUGAAGCUCAAAGUGUUCACUCCCUUUGAGCAAACCCUGUGUAGGAAAUUCGUAUGUAGGAAAUUCAUUUUUGACACUGCUAUAAUAAGUUGUUACUCUUGCUUUCAGCUGGCUUAGUUUUAAAAUCUGUUUUAUUCUUAUUAGCUUAAAAAUAUUAUAAUUAUUAUGUGUUCCAUUAUGUUUUAUUUUCAUUUAUAAAAAAGCAUAUGUUCUAUAUCCUGAUUUUUUUCUCUUAUCAUGUUAACACCAAUGAUCUAUAUCAUAAUGUUUUUGUAGUUGCAUAAUUUGGAUAUAUCAUAGUUAUUUAGUCAUUCUAUGAGUUAACUUUCAGGCUUUUUCUCUUUUUUAUUUCUUUAGCUAUUAUUAACAAUGAUGCCAUAGUUAUCCUUAAAGAAGUAUCUUUUCAUAAUAGUACUUUUAUUUCUACAUAUUAAAUUGUGAUUCCUUUUAAACUUCUUUAAAUUUAAAUAUAUAUAUUUUUUAGCGACAAGGUCUUGUUAUGUUGCCUAGGCUGGACUUGAAUCCUGGGCUCAAGGUAACCUACCACCUUAGCCUUCCUUCAGAGUAGCUGGUACUACAGGCAUGCAACCCUACACCAGGAUACAAAUUGUGUGUUUCUUGAGUCAAAUGGUUUGAAUGCUUUUUAAAAUUUUAAGAUUACUACUCCAAAAUGAUUACUGUAUCAAAUUUUAAGUUAUAAUAAUUAUAAUUAUUUAGAAUCAUACCACCAAUGUGUGAGAGUACCCAUUUUGACAAACUCACAUAAAUCUCUGGAUAUUAUAAAUAUAGUUAGAUUUUAGUAGAUUUUUAGUUAGAUUUUAGUUAGCCAUUCCUGGCUGUGAGUGAGACAGAAUGUCUUCUUACAUGUUUGUUCGUCAUUUGUGAUCCAUUAAAACAAAUAAUCACAAAAAUAAACUUAUUUAUGGUUUUUUAUAUUUCAUUUUAGUCUUUUAAAUGAAAAACAUUAUUAGUCUGAGCUCUUUAGACACCAUUCGUUAGACAGUGCAAGCAAAGUUAACUUUCACACCUUCUGAAUUUAGAGAUGAUAUGUACAAAAUCAAUAUUCAACAAAAUCCAACAAAAUGUAAUUAGCAUCUACUUUGUGUCGGGCACUACUUUAGGCAUAAAUAUGAGUAAGAUACAGCCCCUAUCCUCAAAAUAGAGAGAUAAAGCAGUAAAUAAUUCUAAAACAAUUUGCUAAUGACAAUGUGACUUCCUUAAGGACAAGGACAAUAACUUUUUCCCUUAGUAGCUAAAAGUAAAGAACAAAGAAAGAAAUGAGCAAAGAAAUUAGUUGUGACCACAGUAUAAAAAAAGAGAAUAAGGCAUGGCCCCAGAGAUCCAGGAAAUUAUUCACUAGAAAGCCAGUUUGUAAAGUUUGAGAGUAGGAUAGGGAGUUGAGGGAGGUGGGAGAAGAAGAGAGGAGGCCUACAGGACAAAGCAGGUCUAACUCUUACAUAUCCAAAGUCAUAAACUGUGUACAAAGUGAGGGAAUAUAAAUGUUACACAAUAAUUAUUAUCUAAAAUAUAUUACUUUUCAACACUGGCCAAAUCUCCCAACCCAGUGACUGUUUUCAAACUGAGAUGAAACUUGAGGGAAGUCCUCAGUAAAAUGAUUUUACUUAUUUAACUCUAAACCUAUUUUUGAAUAGGUUUCGAAGCUUUUUCUAAUUUAGGAAAUGAAAAAAAAAUUUAAUUACUUUGAAAUUAUUCUGUAAAAAUACAAGAUGUAGUUGUUCUGUCUUUACUCAUGGGUAACGCCA